rnacentral:rRNA from 1 species
UACAGAGGGUGCGAGCGUUAAUCGGAAUUACUGGGCGUAAAGCGCACGUAGGUGGCGACGUAAGUCGGGUGUGAAAGCCCCGGGCUCAACCUGGGAAUUGCAUUCGAGACUGCAUUGCUGGAGUACGGAAGAGGAAGGCGGAAUUCCCGGUGUAGCGGUGAAAUGCGUAGAUAUCGGGAGGAACAUCAGUGGCGAAGGCGGCCUGCUGGGCAGUUGCUGACACUGAGGCGCGACAGCGUGGGGAGCAAACAGG